CCUACGGGCGGCAGCAGUGGGGAAUAUUGCACAAUGGGCGAAAGCCUGAUGCAGCAACGCCGCGUGAGCGAUGAAGGCCUUCGGGUCGGAAAGCUCUGUCCUCAAAGAAGAUAAUGACGGUACGUGAGGAGGAAGCCCCGGAUAACUACGUGACAGCAGCCGCGGUAAUACGUAGGGGGCUAGCGUUAUCCGGAAUUACGGGGCGAAAAGGGUGCGUAGGUGGUUUCUUAAGUCAGAGGUGAAAGGCUACGGCUCAAGCGUAGUAAGCCUUUGAAAAUGGGAAACUUGAGUGCAGGAGAGGAGAGUGGAAUUCCUAGUGUAGCGGUGAAAUGCGUAGAUAUUAGGAGGAACACCAGUUGCGAAGGCGGCUCUCUGGACUGUAACUGACACUGAGGCACGAAAGCGUGGGGAGCAAACAGGAUUAGAUACCCGAGUAGUC
rnacentral:rRNA from 1 species